AAUUUUGGACAAUGGGGGAAACCCUGAUCCAGCCAUCCCGCGUGUAUGAUGAAGGCCAUCGGGUUGUAACGUACUUUCGGCAGCGAAGAAUAGGCAUCCCCUAAUACGGGAUGCUGUUGACGGUAUCUGCAGAAUAAGCACCGGCUAACUCUGUGCCAGCAUCCGCGGUAAUACGUAGGGUGCAAGCGUUAAUCGGAAUUACUGGGCGUAAAGCGUGUGUAGGCGGUUCGGAAAGAAAGAUGUGAACUCCCAGGGCUCAACCUUGGAACUGCAUUUUUAACUGCCGAGCUAGAGUAUGUCAGAGGGGGGUAGAAUUCCACGUGUAGCAGUGAAAUGCGUAGAUAUGUGAAGGAAUACCGAUGGCGAAGGCAGCCCCCUGGGAUAAUACUGACGCUCAGACACGAAAGCAUGGGGAGCAAACAGG
rnacentral:rRNA from 1 species